rnacentral:rRNA from 1 species
GACGAACGCUGGCGGCGUGCUUAACACAUGCAAGUCGAACGGAAAGGCCCUGCUUGCAGGGUCCUCGAGUGGCGAACGGGUGAGUAACACGUGGGUGAUCUGCCCUGCACUUCGGGAUAAGCCUGGGAAACUGGGUCUAAUACCGGAUAGGAGCCAUUUUUAGUGUGAUGGUUGGAAAGUUUUUUCGGUGUAGGAUGAGCUCGCGGCCUAUCAGCUUGUUGGUGGGGUAAUGGCCUACCAAGGCGGCGACGGGUAGCCGGCCUGAGAGGGUGGACGGCCACAGUGGGACUGAGAUACGGCCCAGACGCCUACGGGAGGCAGCAGUGGGGAAUAUUGCACAAUGGGCGCAAGCCUGAUGCAGCGACGCCGCGUGGGGGAUGACGGCCUUCGGGUUGUAAACUCCUUUCGCUAGGGACGAAGCUUUUUGUGACGGUACCUAGAUAAGAAGCACCGGCUAACUACGUG